UCGUAACUUUUUCGACACUCGCCUUUGUCACUUUGGGGGCCUUAAGGCCAUCGGGCGGGCGGGGGGGGGGUCAUCCGUGCUUCCCAGACUCGCUCUCCCCUGCACCCCUGCUCCCCGGCGCCCGCGGAGGAAACGCUGAUCGCGCCGCGCGGGCUGAGUACCUUUGGUGGCUCUGUACCCCGCUGGGAUCCGUACGUGCCGUUCGAGAGCCAAGUGAUCAAGAGACAUGACGGACUUCACGCCCCGAGUGGGCUCCAUCUUCUGGAUGACGACUUCUUCGCGAAGGAAUUGGUACAAGAUUGGGAAGGAGCCACUCUCGGCUUUACAGGGAGCGUCCUUUCAGCAAGCCCGUCUGGCAGAUAACGAAGGCUUUACCUUGGACUUCGAUGUUGACCAUGUUGGAAGAGUAGGAACAGCAGCCAUUCUUAAAUCCGGAACAGUGAUAGUCUCCGUUAUCUUUGAGACUCGCUUGCUCGAUGCGGAAGUCGGAACUGUCAUCAGAGACGCUCAGGACCUCGCCCCGCCUGUGCAGGGUCAUGGCAUCCAGAGUGAU